GCCGCCGGCGCGUUCCGGCACACGUCGGGCGUGUCGACGGUACCCGCGACGCUGCGUUCUUCCUCCGGGGAGAGCGCGCGUCCGCGACCGUGACCCAAACCAAACGAUCGAAGUGAGCUCGUGCUCGAUGGUUUUGCAUGGAAUCGUGGAACGGGACCCUGGCUCGCGUUUCGCACGCGUUCCGCGAGAGCCAGGGCGACGAUCAACGGGAGCGGUCGGAGGCGAGGGAACUGCCGGGCGAGGGGUAAAAUCUGAUGAGCCUGGCAAGACCACCGAAAGCGAAGGCACUCGCCGAGGCCGUUUCCGUCGAUAAAGAACCGAAGCCACCAUAGACAAUGGGAUUAGAUACCCCAGUAUCGGUGUGCCCCAAACUAUGCCGUCCGGCUGGACGUCGGCUAACAUUGUGGCCGGCGUUCGGUCCGAGGAAGCUGGAGCGAUUUGGCUUCUGGGAGAUUACGGCUGCAAAGCUGAAACUUAAAGGAAUUGACGGAAGGGCACCAUCAGGUCUGGAUUGUGCGGCUCAAUUGGAUUCGACGCCCGACACCCCACC
rnacentral:rRNA from 1 species